AGUGAACGCUGGCGGUAGGCCUAACACAUGCAAGUCGAACGGCAGCACAGUAAGAGCUUGCUCUUACGGGUUGCGAGUGGCGGACGGGUGGGGUAUACAUCGGAAUCUACUUUUUCGUGGGGGAUAACGUAGGGAAACUUACGCUAAUACCGCAUACGACCUACGGGUGAAAGCAGGGGAUCUUCGGACCUUGCGCGAAUGAAUGAGCCGAUGUCGGAUUAGCUAGUUGGCGGGGUAAAGGCCCACCAAGGCGACGAUCCGUAGCUGGUCUGAGAGGAUGAUCAGCCACACUGGAACUGAGACACGGUCCAGACUCCUACGGGAGGCAGCAGUGGGGAAUGUUGGACAAUGGGCGCAAGCCUGAUCCAGCCAUACCGCGUGGGUGAAGAGGGCCUUCGGGUUGUAAAGCCCUUUUGUUGGGAAAGAAAAGCAGCAGGUUAAUACCCCGCUGUUCUGACGGUACCCAAAGAAUAAGCACCGGCUAACUUCGUG
rnacentral:rRNA from 1 species